rnacentral:rRNA from 1 species
UUCCCCUCCUCCUCCUGGAGGCAUCCUUUGGGAAUAUUUCCCCAUGGGGGACCCCCUUAUGCAGCUCCUCCUCGUGAGCUCUUCCUUAUUUCGUUCUUUCAAGCUCUUUCCUCCGGGAAGACUACUUCCGGUACCUUCCUCCGAAGCACCUUCUCCAUACGUGCCCUCCUCCGCGGUCCUCCUUAUGGUGCCCUCUUUAUCCGGAGGUCCUGGGUGUAAAGGGCGCGCAGGAGGGGAGGCAAGUCUGAGGGGAAAGCCCGGGGGGAAACCGCGGGACUGCAUUGGAAACUGCGGGACUGGAGUGUCGGAGGGGGAAGCGGAAGGCAGGGUGUAGCGGGGAAAUGCGUAGAGAGAAGGAGGAACAAAGGUGGCGAAGGCGGAGGAAUGGACGAGGAAUGACGCUGAGGCUCGAAAGCGUGGGGAGAAAACAGGAUUAGAUACCCGAGUAC